rnacentral:sRNA from 1 species
GUCCACCCAGCGGCGGACCAUAGCCAAAGGCCUGUCAUGGCCAUGGCUGCAGCCGGCCGACGGCGCGUCGCCAUGAUGCCCAAGCCGGCUGC